GCAUGACCAGUGCGUUUCAGCUUUUUCACAACCAAUUUUCAAAACAAAUCUUUGUGCUGCGUCGUACGAAGGAGGCAAAGAUUCCUGUUUAGGUGAUUCCGGCGGUCCACUAUUGAUGCAAAGACAUGACGGAAGAUGGACUAAUGUUGGAAUAGUGUCUUGGGGCAUUAGUUGUG